rnacentral:rRNA from 1 species
UACGGAGGAUGCAAGCGUUAUCCGGAAUUAUUGGGCGUAAAGCGUCCGCAGGUGGCUGUGUAAGUCUGCUGUUAAAGAGUCUAGCUCAACUAGAUAAAAGCAGUGGAAACUACACGGCUAGAGUACGUUCGGGGCAGAGGGAAUUCCUGGUGUAGCGGUGAAAUGCGUAGAGAUCAGGAAGAACACCAGUGGCGAAGGCGCUCUGCUAGGCCGUAACUGACACUGAGGGACGAAAGCUAGGGGAGCGAAUGGG